UACCAGCACCCCGAGUGGUCGGGACGAUUAUUGGGCCUAAAGCAUCCGUAGCCGGCCUUACAAGUCCUCCGUUAAAUCCAGCUGCUUAACAGGUGGGCUGCGGAAGAUACUAUAGAGCUAGGAGGCGGGAGAGGCAAGCGGUACUCGAUGGGUAGGGGUAAAAUCCGUUGAUCCAUUGAAGGCCACCAGUGGCGAAGGCGGCUUGCCAGAACGCGCUCGACGGUGAGGGAUGAAAGCUGGGGGAGCAAACCGG
rnacentral:rRNA from 1 species